GACGUAGGGCGCGAGCGUUGUCCGGAUUUAUUGGGCGUAAAGAGCUCGUAGGCGGCUUGUCGCGUCGACUGUGAAAUCCCGCGGCUCAACUGCGGGUCUGCAGUCGAUACAGGGCAGGCUAGAGUUCGGUAGGGGAGACUGGAAUUCCUGGUGUAGCGGUGAAAUGCGCAGAUAUCAGGAGGAACACCGGUGGCGAAGGCGGGUCUCUGGGCCGAUACUGACGCUGAGGAGCGAAAGCGUGGGGAGCGAACAGG
rnacentral:rRNA from 1 species